UACGUAGGGGGCGAGCGUUGUCCGGAUUUAUUGGGCGUAAAGAGCUCGUAGGCGGUUUGGCAAGUCGGGUGUGAAAACUCCGGGCUCAACUCGGAGACGCCACUCGAUACUGCCAUGACUCGAGUCCGGUAGGGGAGUGCGGAAUUCCUGGUGUAGCGGUGAAAUGCGCAGAUAUCAGGAGGAACACCAAUGGCGAAGGCAGCACUCUGGGACGUGACUGACGCUGAGACGCGAAAGCGUGGGGAGCAAACAGG
rnacentral:rRNA from 1 species